UCACUGUGGUCUUUGUUUAUGAUGCUUCUUUUUUUCUGAGACACGAUCUCACUCUGUCACCCAGGCUGGAGAGCAGUGGCACAAUCCCAGCUCAUUGCAGCCUCAACCUCCUGUUGCUCUAGCGAUCCUCUCACCUCAGCCCCUUGAGUAGCUGAGACCACAGACAUGCACUACCACCCUUGGAUAAUUUUUAAUUUUUUUUUUGUAGAGGCAGGGGUCUCACUAUGUUACCCAGAUUGGUCCUAAACUCCUGAACUCAAGCAGUCCUCCAGCCUGGGCCUCCCAAAUUGUUAAGAUUAUAGGCAUGAGCCAUUGUGCCCCACCAAUCCUUUUUUUUUUUUUUUUUCCAAACCCAGUUGGAAAACAAGAUUGAAAAGGACAAUGCUUCUCCAUGAUCACACAGCUAACAAGCAGGGAAGACAGAAUUCAACGCCAGGUUCUGUUGCCUAGAGCCACUGGCAGUAAUCACACUGCCAUGCUCUGUUGGGGCAUCUGACUCUGUGCAGGGCACCUUCCCUGGACAGCACCCUACAGGCACAAGCUGCCUGUGGAUCCAUUCAUGUGAGUGGUCCUGAAGAGGAGCACCUGAGUGUUUCACAACCAAAUGCUCAACAGAUGUUUCUACAUGUCUGGAGAAAUGCAAUGAGGGGUGCACUGGGGUAAUGAUGCUGAAAGCUCCCAGAGUCAAUAGCCUUUGGGGCUUGAUUAGCAGAGACUCGCACUUUGCCACAGAAACGGCAAAUAGAAUGGCUCUUGGAACAAAGGCAGGAUGACUUUCUAAGACUUUGAAUCCUUUCAGUCAGGAAAAGCAAGCAUUUCCCUGCCUGGCGGUGACCCAGCCAGAGCCCCAGGGAGCCUGGUGAUCCCUCUCGCCGUCUGCUGUGAAGGUGAGACGAGAGGGAGUGGAAAGAUGUUAAAGAUGGAGGUCCCGUGAUUGACGCCAUGACUCUUUGCUGGUAUCCUUUGGCCAAGGCUCCUAACCUCUCUGAGCCUCAGUUUUCUCAUCUAUAAAAGGGGGAAAUGUCUCCUACCUUGAAGCAUCCUGGGGGAUGAAGUGAACCACUGUACAUAAGGUGCACGGCAUGGUGGGCUCCCGCGUUCUUGCUCUUUGUUUUGGGCUCAACCUUACCCUUUGGGAUCCCCUUCCAUCCACUGGGAUCCCUCCUCCACCCCUCGGGAUGCCUUCUCCACCCCUUGGGAUUCUUCCUCUGAGGCCCUGUGCCUGGAGAGGUUGCCACAUGACGUCACUACCCCAGUUCCUUUGCUCUGUGGCUUCAGCCAAGCUCAGCUCCCACAGGGCUCCCGCCACAGUUUCUCCACGUGCCCCUGCAACACUGGGGUGGUAAUGCCAUCCCCUCACUAGUCCGCGAUGUGUCUGUACCCCUUGCCUUGCCAACUCUGGGACCAGUCCCUGGGUUACACUCUCCCCAGAUGCCAGCUGUGCAGGAGGCUGUCUCUUUCUUGCCAGACCUCUCAACAUGUUGUGCUCGAUAAUGCGUUUCUCUAAUUCCAACUCCACCACCAACAGCCUACAUGUGUGAUCUGAGACAUGUAGAGAGGGAAGAGAGGGAAGAGUUUGUUCUCCCCUCUGCAGGAUAAAAAAGUGAGAGGUAAACAGUCUGGCCUCUUCUUUCACUAGCCCUUGACUCAAUCUUGUCCCUGGGAGGAGGAGUCACUUAGCUGAUGGUGACUUUGGGAUGGGGAACUGACGGGGUGCAGCUCAGACCCUCUUUUCAGGAUGGGAAGGGGGCUCGCGGCUGUGUGUGAAUUUAACUCUGCACAGAAAGUCUCAGGGAUUUGCAUUUGGCCUCUGAUCUAAGCCUAGCUCUUGAAUCAGCUGUUCCAAUAAAGCGGACACUGCGGUCUGCAAUGACACUGCUCCUCCACCUGCUUCCUCCUGCUCCCAAAUACAGGAGGGCGGGAGUCAUGGGCCCCUCAAUCCCUACCCCUUCCCCUCUCUGAGACUAGUCGCCUCCACAGACGGCAGGGCUGCAGCCAAAUGCCCACCAAGUUCAGCUGGAAAGUUCUGCAAGUCCCUGAAUGUUGGAAUUCCCAGGGUGCGAGGGUGAGCUGACCAUUGCUGAGAGCUCUGCCAGGCUGCUGGCCAGUUCUGCUCUUCCUCAGGUGGAUGGGCCCCACCCUCCAACUCCUAACCCAGUGCUCCUUAAACACCACGUGCUUGAUGCAUGCUGAGGAGUUCGUCCCUGUGGUUCGGGUCCUGCAGAAAGUAGCUGCAUGGGACAGGGAGUGGUGGCUCACGCCUGUAAUCCCAAUACUUUGGGAGGUCAAGGCAGGUGGAUCACUUGAGGUUAGGAGUUCAAGACCAGCCUGGCCAACAUGGUGAAACCUCUUCUCUACUAAAAAUACCAAAAUUAGCUGGGUGUGGUGGCAUGCACCUGUAAUCCCAGCUACUCGGGAGGCUGAAGCAUGAGAAUCACUUGAACCCAGGAGGCGGAGGUUGCAGUGAGCCGAGAUUGUGCCACUGCACUCCAGCCUGGAAGACAGAGCAAGACUCCAUCUCAAAGAAAAAAAAAAGGUAGUGUGCAGGAGAUAGGAGUGCCACAGGUUUGUUGUAGGUCAGCUCUAUGAAAGGCAAAGGGAAAGGAAUCAGGAAGACACUCAGGCUGCUGUUGGCAUCUGACAAGUCCUGGCCAGCCCCCUGGAGAGCUCAGAACAAAGAUUGCUCGCUAAAGGAGUCCUGGAUUCGGCAUAAGUGGUGAGGCCCUAAUACUGGAAAUGCAUAGCCAGGGCUGGAAAGAGGAGGUGGGUCCAGAGGGCUCCAACAGCUGGAGCUGUCAGCCAGCUGCCCUCCUUGCAGCUGAACAGUGGAUUCCUUUUUUAAGAACGAUCUGAGGGGCACAGACCUAAGGGGCAUGGAUCUGAAGGGCACACCUCCAUGACUGCCGUAGCCCUUGAGCUGUCUGCUGUAUGGCAGCUGGAGGAAGCACGUGAGUCACAGGCCUUUGUGGUGACCCCAGUCCACAAGUCGUGAUCGUGGUCUUAGAUAAUCAAAGGUGGCAGAGCUCUCAGAAAUUAAUUCAUUCAACAGGCAUCUACUGAAAGCCCACGGGGUCCAGUGCUGUUCUAGACUUGGCAAGAGCAAAUUCAGUGAACAAAACAAAGUCUCUGCCCAGAUCUUCCAGAACAGGGGCUGGGAAACUUUGGAGGGCCAGAGUAACUAUUUUAGGUAUCCGUCACCAGUAUUCAACUCUGCCGUUGUAACAGGCAGUGUCUGAUUUGGCGCAAGGGCUGUAGGUUUCUGACUCCUCAUCUGGGAUGACAUCCACCUGUUUACAGAGGCAGAGUGUGAGGCCCAGAGAGGGUAGGGAUUAGACCAAGAUCACACAGCAGGUGGUGGUGGAGCCAGCUGAAGAAGUCAGGAACUUGGCCCCACCUGGCACCGUUUCUAAUGCUUACAUAUGUUUUUUUAGUGUGCUUCUGGUGAACAGGUGAGGUAAGAGUGAGGGUGAUGCCCUCAGGAGUGAGAAGCGAGGGCAGGGAGGGAAGAACGGAAGAGUCUUGGUGACAGAGUCACCCACCAUGCCAGGUCCUGUCUGCACGCUGUCUCCUGCAAUCCUGCCACUUACCCUGUGGGGUGUGUAGCAUCACCCCAUUAACGGAGGAGGACACUCUGGCUUGGCGAGCACUCUGACACCAGCCCCCUUGGUUACAGUGCGGGAACCCCAGGCCUUCUGUCAACUGCAAGGGCUGGGCUGCCAUUUCCAACUUCAGUUGUCUGCCACCAUGUUGAUGAACAUCACAUCCAAUCCAUUCCUUCCUGGUUGUCUGAUCUGAAUCACUCUUCCUCAGCUUCCCCGUCUGUGAAAUGGGUAGACCAACAGUACCUCCCCUACUGGGCUGUGAGUAGGAUUAAAUGAGUUUGUAUUGGUGAAAAGCCCAGGGCCCAGAAGAAGCAUCCUAUAAUUGCGUAUUCAAUAGAAGAAAUGGCAGGCUCAGCUCCAGGGAAGACAAGACCUAAACCCAGAAGUUGAGUCACCCAGAGCAUGUGGGCCCUUCACAUACAGGAGAGAGUCAUCACGGCCCCCACACAGCAUCAGAUCAGAGAGGCCAGAGAUGCUCUCCUCGGCGACAGUCUGAACCUGCCUCUGGAACCCUGCCCUCAAGUCCCAGGGAAGAGGGAGGGUCCCCUCCCCAUGAUCCCUCCUGGGCAGGAGACACUGGACCCCUGCUUUGAUCCCAGGGAAUCGGGUAAACCAAGUUGUGCUGUCAUCAGGCUCAGAGCUGCACAGCACAUGACGUGGCCAUAGUGGAGACAGAGCAUGUCUGUCCCCCGUCUGGGUCAAGUGCAGUCUAAGCAGGAGCUAUGGGGCUGAAUGGGGCUCACCCACCCAGAGGCCUGCAGGAGCCACACUCAGGCAUGGUCCAGAGCUGCAGAGCCCCC
rnacentral:lncRNA from 1 species